UGGGGAAUAUUGGACAAUGGGGGGAACCCUGAUCCAGCCAUGCCGCGUGUGUGAAGAAGGCCUUAUGGUUGUAAAGUACUUUAAGCGUGGAGGAGGAGCUCUAGGCUAAUAUCCCAGAAGCUUGGACGUUACUCGUUGAAUAAGCACCGGCUAACUCUGUGCCAGCAGCCGCGGUAAUACAGAGGGUGCGAGCGUUAAUCGGAUUUACUGGGCGUAAAGCGUACGUAGGCGGCUUAUUAAGUCGGAUGUGAAAUCCCUGGGCUUAACUUAGGAAUUGCAUUCGAUACUGGUGAGCUAGAGAAUGGGGGAGGAUGGUAGAAUUCCAGGUGUAGCGGUGAAGUGCGUAGAAAACUGGAGGAAUACCAAUGGCGAAGGCAGCCAUCUAGCCUAAUACUAACGCUGAGGUAAGAAAGGAUGGGGAGCAAACAGG
rnacentral:rRNA from 1 species